GAUCCGCGAGGCCCCUCCAGCGAUACCCCAGGCCAGAGGCAUCUAGAGCAGCCAAGGGUCUCUUGGGCCCUGGAAGCUGAAGCAUUUGCUCCCCUCGCCACCACCCCGAGUGCAUCGCAUAUUGCAUGUCCUUGUGCAUGCAGGCGCCGCUCAUGUGCCCUGAACUUUGCAUAUGCAUACAGGUGCCCUACGUGUGCACUGCAACAUUGCUUGGUUCGGUGCAUGCAAAUGCUACACAUAUGCACGGUGUUUUAACAUAGGCUUUGGUUCUGAUCGCGUGUUGCUUGUUCCUGUGCAGUGGGAUGCUAUACGUGCACAAGCUUACAGGUGCCACAUGUGUGCUGAAUGCUGUGGGUAACUCACGAAGGAGCCACAUAUGUACACUGCAGUGUGGCAUAUUCAGUGCAUACUCUGGCGUAAACGCUGCAAUGUUGCAUGUCCCUAGGCACGGGGAUGCUACACGUGUGCAGUGUAUUACAUGUUUUCCUGAGUCCCUAUCUAUUCCCACAAGUGCCUUUCCCUGUGCCAGGGGCGCCCCCAUGUUGCAUCUGUUUGUGUAAAAGCAGCAGAGUUGCACAGACCCACCCCUUCCCCAUCCUGGCACGGUGCCCAGGAACCAUUGGGUGGGGCCUGAGCCCACAUGGUUCAGGCAGUACCCAGGAGAGGCCUAUGGCUCAGGGCCCUGGUCAGGCGGUUUGUGGCCUGGGCAUCAUGCCACCAGGAAGGUGGGCUGACUGGGGACACACCACGGUAGCCAGAACAAGUAGGUUAAUCUGAUGGCUCUGGUCUGAGAAGCCAGCAGGGGGCAGCUUUGCAAUGAGGGUGGGAUGGUUUCCGGGCAAACUUCUUGAAGGCUCUCUAGCCAGGAGGGGACCAAUCCUGGGCAGGGAGGAGACUCCUUGGUCCUCCCAAUCCCAACCCCACUUUACCCAAUACUAUCUCUGGAGUUUUAUCACCCUCAAGACUGGGGCAAGAUGGAAGAGCUCAUAUAUCCCCAGGGGCCAUACCAGGAAGGGACAGAGAACUCUCCCUGGUUCCUUUCCACUGUCCCUCCCCAUUCAACAGUCAGUGACAGGUGUUGUGAACGAUUGUGAGAGAUUAUCGACUUUAAUGGAAGGAGGUAAUAAGGGGCGAUGAAGGAAUCUCACCUGUCACCUUAAGGUAAUUUAUGAGCUAUAGGAAGCAGGGAGGAGGGCUGGGCAGACAUCUUCUCUUUCCCUGUGGGAGCCCCGGGAAAACAGUGCCUUGGCCUAGCACUGGCAGGAAGGUUCCUGGGUUCUUGCUAGCACCCUCAAACACACCCCAGCAUAUCUGGGUCUGAAGGCCCAGCUGCACUACAAAAGCUGAGCCAGGUGGGCCUGGUCAGCUGCAAAACAGGUUGGGAACCACCCUAGUGCAGUAGGAGAUACUAGGUCCCUUCCUUGCUGUAAGAGACAAUAGGGUUGCUGGGGUUGGGGUCUCAAGGAGGUGGACAAAAGUGGGGAAAGCGGUCAGGACAUGGGUUGCCCCCAAGAAUCCAAGGAGUGGCCCUUAGAAGUCUCCAGGACCCUGUCCUCCAGAGUUCCAGCCCUUUCCUCCUCUACAGAGAGCCUGCCUCCUUCUUUAUGAAUAUUCAUGAUCAUUUGCAUACUAGAGACCCAGAGCCCAGAGAAACCCAGGCAGAUCUCUUGCAGAUGUGAUGCAGCUGGAUCCCUAAGGCCCCCCUCCCCCGUUUCCAGGAUCCAGCUGGGUGAGGGGUAAUAGGAGGGGCUGGCUGCAAAGAGACAGCAGCGUUUUUUGUCUGUUUCUCUUGUUUCUUGGUAACCCUCUGACUUCUUGACCCCAUUCAUUCAGCCACAUCGAUGGAUGGAUGCCCUAGAAGAUACAGGUGGUAGGACAGAGUGAGGGACUGACACAGUUGGUACCUCAUACCCCCAAGGAAGGGGAGUUCUCAGAGCAGGCUGGAGUGGGAGGGCUGUGGGAGCUGGGUGGACACACAGGACCUGCAAGGGUUGUGCAGAAGCCGGUGAACUAGGGCAGACCUGUGGAAGCCUCUCCCUGGAAGUGCCUCCUGCAUCAGGAUUUCCCACCUCCUUUCCCAUGAGCCCCUGCCCUUCUAGACUCACUCUGGUGAUAAUGCCGCCCGCCCGCCGGCCUGGGAGGACUUGGAGUAAUUACAAAUCGCUUCCAUAUUCAAAUCCAGCUGGUUGAGGAGAAAUUACUUCUCUGAACAGCCCAGGCGGGGGUGGGAAGAACAAGUCUUAGCCCCAGCAGGGGCCUCCAGGGAGGCUGGGGCAGUCUGGGCACCGGAAGGGGUGCCUGUGAGCUUGAGCCCAGAGGGCUUGGGCAGACAUAGCCCUAUCCCCACAUAGUGGACAAAGGACAGUGACCUCAGCCCUACAGCCCCAUUGGGCCCCCCUCUGGAACCUCUAAUGGGAUGGAGGACCAACCCCACAGGGCAACCAGAGGCCAGGCUCCCCACCCUGUUCUCACGCUGCCAUGCUAGGUGACCUUGAGAAAGUCCCUUUGGCUCUCUGGACCUCUGUUUCCUUAUCUGUGAAGUGGUGUAAACCCUCUCAGCCUGGCUCCUGGAAGGUAAAAGGUAUAGAUUAGCAAGGGCUAUGCCCUGGAUAGGGGCCUUUUAAAAUAACUAUCUUAUUAUCAAUUAAUCAGUAUUUUUAUUAACAGUAACAACCACCAAUGCACCAGCCGGGAGGCAGCAGAGCCAGCAAAGCUCAAGCCAGGGGGCAAUUCACGAGAGGACGCGAUCAAGGUAUUAAAAGUUACGGAGACACUGGGAGAAAAGAGAGCAAGAAGCAUCCAGCAGAGCAAGAGGAGUUGAAGUUAGAUCCAAGAAGCACUUCCCAGCCUUUGAGGAGGUAUCUGGAGCAGCUGGAGUCUACACAAGAGUAAGAGCUUCCAGGAGGAAGUUCUGCUGUCCCAUCCCGGCCACACUUCUGCUUGCACAGCCCCAAGAAUAGGGAACUCCCUUCUUCCACUGCCCUGCCGCACAGCUGCUCCUCAGCAAGUGAAUUCUGCACACUGAGUUGACUUCUCCCCUCCAGACUGUUGUAGCAAAGGAGUCCCAAUUGUCAUCAUGGGGAAACUGAGACCCAGAAAGGGUAAAGGAGUGGCUCCAGGGUUCCCCAGUCCUCUCUGGUAGAGGCUCAAGCCUUCUCCAAUGUUUCUGCCCUCCACCUUCCCUGUGGCCCUGCUCCAUCCCAGACAUCUCAGUCCCAGAGGGUACCUUCUCAGCCGCCAUCUCUUCUGCUCAGUCUUCAAGCCUCCCACCUCAGCGGUCACCGCUGCAGCAGCUUCUGGCUCCAGUGUCUUUGGGUUAAGAAUGAAAGAUUUUUGGAAACACUGGUGUCCCUGUAAGGAUGUAAGUGGUGAGGGGACAGGGUCCAUGUUGCACCAACCUGGCCUCUAGCCUCCAAGAAGGAAAAACAGGCAAACCAAUAAUCCUCAUCCUGUGCCUGGAAUCCAGUCUGUCCUCUCAUCUGGAAGUUCUUCCUGGUGUUUAGUUGUCAUAUCUCGAGCUGCAAAGGAAGUUGAUUUGCUUUAGCUGGGUUCUGAAAGGCUAUGGACUCAACAAGGGAGGGAGGAAGAUACCAUGAGUGCCUACUGUGUGCCAGAAGCAGGAAUAAAUGUGUGUAAAAGAGGCAUCCUAUUUCACCUCAUAUAAACUAGUGAGUUAGGGAUUAGUAAUCCUCUUUACAGAGAAGGAAAUUGAUCCAUAGAGAGGGAAAAACCAUACAGGCAGGAUAGGGCUGAACUUGAGUUCCAACAAGUCUUGGCUUUGCUUAGGGAGCUGUCUUCCCUCAGGGAUACUUGACUGGGUGGCAGUGGUCACUAUCAACUCAAGCCACCCACCCCAAACCUGGGAUCCGUGAUUCGCAAAACACGCAUGCACCUCCCACGAACUCAUCAGAUAAAAUGGGAAAGAAGCAAAGGGAACCGUCUGUCCGGGGAUAGUUACCCAAACAAGCUCAGGCCCCGCCUCUAUGUUAAUGACAUGCAGAUAUGCAAAUUUGCACAAGCAACUGCUCAAACCUUAAGUAGCAAUGGGGUGACACAGGAGCAGUUGCUAUGGAAAUCCAAAAAUGAUGCCCCCCCACCUCCUGCACCAGCAGGUUCAUAGACACGUGCACAAAGAUCCAGGGUUCCUCGCUCUGGCGCCCAGAGGAUCACCGAGUGGCAGAGGGUGUGAACCGGAAGGACCCUCAGAGACUGUGUCCAGCCGGGGGACGCUGAGACCCGGGGAAAGUCGCAGGAAGGGCACCAUCUCGAUCCUUGUGGGCCUGGGGCACCUUCCACCCAAACCCUUAGGGUAAAGGACGACUCCUACUCCGGCCUAGCAACGCGAGCUCCGCCCAGCGUUGCAUAGCAACGUCCCUCGAGCCUAGCAACCCCGGCCACGCCCCCUAGCAACGUCAGGCCUAAGCCGCGCUCCCGGCCCCUACCAAAAGAGAGACGGGAAAGGGACAGUGGACUAGGGCUGAAAGGUGGGUGGGGGUCACGUCACCCAGUCGCCGCCUCCAGACAGGCGACGGGAUCCUCACAUAGACCCCCUCCCCGCCGGCGAGGCGUAAGAGGGCCGCGUUAGUACCCCCCUUUACAGAGAGGCAAACCAAAGCUCAGAAGCGAAGGCCCUGUCUGGAGGCUAGUGCUUGUUCUUCCCGGAGCGCAGCAAGCGCUUAGUCUCCCGGGGGGCGGAGGGGAGCCCUGGCCUGGGGGAGGGGUGCACAGCCCGUCUCCUCCGCCCCACUGCGUUAGGAAAACCACCCAAGUUGCGGACUCCAAAUCGAGCUGCAGGUUUGCAUAGUAAUUUGCAUCAUUUGCAUAUAGUGCGGAGGCUGUGGUGCUCCCUUGUCCCUCAGAGCCAGAUAAGUUCUCCAAGGAGCCCUGCUACCUUCCCUGGUUCACCUGUCGAUCCCCCUCUCCCUGCCCCCCACCUACAGCCCCCCGCGCCCCCGCUUCCAACCCCUUCCACUAAGUUCACUCACCCCGCCCCCAGCUCAGCCUCUGUCCUGCCAGCCCCGACCUCCAUCCCAAGGCCAAGGGCCCCCUCUGCUGUCGGCCGCGGGUAGGGCAGCUGCAGAGCUCAAGGGGCAGGGAAGAGGGAAACCACCGUGGCCCCUUCCUUCAGGGUCUAGAGCGAGGUGGAAACGUGGGUAGAGGAUACAUACCUUUAGUCUCUGGAGCGAAGGGGGGGGGGUUCUGCAGAAUUCUCUCCCCUUGGCCAGCCCCCCCACAGUGGGCUGGCUAGCCAGGGCAGCUGGUUCUGAGGUCAGUCUUCAGACUCAAUUCUCUCAAGUUACACACACGGAGACACUUUAUCAUUAGAGCUGCUGUGACGAGCUCAUUGCAGGGCCAAGGCAAGGUAGCACCGCCCAAUGCUAGGCAAUCAGACAUAUGGACGUGCAUAAGGACACACAUGCAUGCACAGGGACACUCAAAGAUACAUACACACAGGAAUAUGGUGGCACUUUGUGGUACCCCUCAUCUAUCCAAAGGAAGAAAUCUUGGUCACUCAGAAGCUUUAUUAAAAAAACAUUGAAAUUUG